AUGUACCACCUGUACACUCCGGUUCCUCCGCGCCGUCCGCACCCACCUGACGACUGCUCGCUACGUGUUGUUAGCC
rnacentral:sRNA from 1 species